GUGGAUUAGAUACCCUAGUAGUCCACGCCGUAAACGAUGAGUGCUAGGUGUUGGGUCCUUUCCGGGACUCAGUGCCGCAGCUAACGCAUUAAGCACUCCGCCUGGGGAGUACGACCGCAAGGUUGAAACUCAAAGGAAUUGACGGGGGCCCGCACAAGCGGUGGAGCAUGUGGUUUAAUUCGAAGCAACGCGAAGAACCUUACCAGGUCUUGACAUCCCAGUGACCGUCCUAGAGAUAGGAUUUUUCUUCGGAACACUGGAGACAGGUGGUGCAUGGCCGUCGUCAACG
rnacentral:rRNA from 1 species